rnacentral:rRNA from 1 species
UACGUAGGUGGCAAGCGUUGUCCGGAUUUACUGGGCGUAAAGAGCGCGCAGGCGGUCGUUCAAGUCGCGUGUGAAAGCCCCCGGCUCAACUGGGGAGGGUCAUUCGAUACUGAUCGACUUGAAGGCAGGAGAGGGAAGUGGAAUUCCGGGUGUAGUGGUGAAAUGCGUAGAUAUCCGGAGGAACACCAGUGGCGAAGGCGACUUCCUGGCCUGUUCUUGACGCUGAGGCGCGAAAGCUGGGGGAGCAAACGGG